AGGGGAGAUCAGGAGGGAGAGGCAGAUCCACCCUGGCUGGGACUUAUGCCCCCAUCCAGUGCUCCAGAGAGGACUUCUGCUCUUGGAUCUAGUCCUGGAGCUCUUUGAAAGCUGCAUCUGCCUUUCUGUUUCUCCAAGUUAAGAUGGCUACAUCUUUUCUUCUGGAUACCACCAGAUCAUUCCAGCCACCUGCCUUUGUGGUGUCUCCAGACAAGGGCUGACAACCAUCGAAGCAUCGAAACCCUAAGGCUACUUGGAGAGAAGAAGACUGUCCCUGGAGAAGGAUAUGAAUCAGAGAGAAAGAAGUAAAAUCUUGUCCUAGGAAGAAAGGGAGCGAUUGGCAGAAGACUUGUCUCUGGCGUGGGUGACUGAUUUUUAAGAAAUCGGCAACACGGAAGCUGAUUAUAAAAUAUUCAUAAGAAGCUGGCUUUUACAGGUAAUCGCUUUUUUCCUUCUACUUCUUCCCAAACCUUCCAUUUCUUCAAAUAGUACAAUUUUUAGGACAUUGAAAGCUUAUAUAUUUAAUGUUGCUAGUUUAUAUCUUUAUAACCCAUCAAUCUAGCUUUUGUGGUCUUUGAUUCUUUGGAGUUUGAGAGUUUUUAGAAUUAAUUUCAAAAGGAUGUUUGCUUCUUUUUAAAGUAAUUUAGGCAGAGUUCAUUUGAAACCACAAACACUGUCUUUGAACUCUGGAUGUAUAUGUAUGUAUAUGUAUAUUAUAUGCAUAUAUGUGUGUCUAUAUAUCUGAGAAUUCAGGGUUUAUAUGCAUUUCAGAAGGUUGUUAUUAAUAUUUUAGCUUCAGUUCUACUUGAUUACAACUUAGCACUUUCUGGAACUCUUCAAUAUCCAUUGCGUGGGUGGGGAUUGAGUUUGGCUCUCAUGAUCCAGGCAGCUUCCUUUGGGUGCCGCUGAAGCACUUUGUCCCACCUAGAAAGGUUUACAAGCAUCCAUGAUCUGGUGUCCAAAAAAAAGUACCUUUCCCUUUGUUUGUAAAUGACAGCCCCAUGUUUUCACAGUUGGUUGCUAUGUGGUAGUGUCCUGUGCAAUCUUGUUUCAUGUAAUGACCCAAAAUGUCCUUUGGAAAAA
rnacentral:lncRNA from 1 species